GAUCAUGGCUCAGGAUGAACGCUAGCGGCAGGCUUAACACAUGCAAGUCGAGGGGCAGCAUAAUGGAUAGCAAUAUCUAUGGUGGCGACCGGCGCACGGGUGCGUAACGCGUAUGCAACCUACCUUAACGAGGGGAUAACACUGAGAAUUGUACUAACUACCCAUAAUAUCAUAGAAGGCUAUUCUUUAUGGUUAGAAAUUCCGUAGUGGUUAGAGAGUGGGCUNUGUGUUGUUAG
rnacentral:rRNA from 1 species